AAGUCUUAACUGGAAGGUACUAACUAGUGGCACUAUAGUUACACUUCAGUCAGACCGUGACUCCCUUGCUGCAUUGUUCAAGGAGAAAAAGCUCCAACAUUAUUUGAAUGUAGAUAGAUGCUACCAUACGAGGUUGACUCUACUCUUACUGCUAAGCAAUGGAUUAUUAUGACUUCUAAUUUAAAGCAUUCUGAAGUUCUGAAGUGUAGGCCUGAAGAUUUAUCAGUAUAUGCAAGAGAUGCAUUAAGGGUCAUGCUGGGAUUUCUGACUAUGUUUUACAGAAAAAUAAACCUUAGUAAAUCAUUUUUACAUAGGGUUGAUUUACCUAGAGUGUUAUGUUGUCCUGUAUACACUCUCCUUUAUUCACAUGCAGAAUUAGUCCUCAUUGCUUGUGAAGAUCCCAUUAUACAUCUAUAUGUGAAUAUCACAAUAAGUCCAAGAGUUCAGUCUUGCUUGCAGUCAUGUGAUUCUUCCAAAUCAAGUCCACAGGAAAAAAUUCCAGAGGCAUAGUUGGGAUCUAUUACAUUAGUCAAAUGGAAACUGCAGGCAAAGUUAAUUCAGGCUGAGCGUAGAACUUGCACAGGAAAGAAAUGACAACUGCGUCAUUAGUUCCUGAUCUAUCAAGUCACAUGAUGCACAUCAUUAAUGGAUGUCAGCAUACCAGAUAAUGUCAAAAGAAGUUUUGAUUAAGAAUGUAUCAUCUGAUACUUUUUAUGUUAUUAACAGCCAUUGUGGUUUGUAAGAUCAAGUGAUAUUUUGUACACUAUGGCUUGCUAGGUUAAGGUUUUCUUUUACAUAGCUCCUCUAAAAUGGCAUAUUUCAGAAGGUAUGUAAACAAAUUGCUCCUUUUCCCAUCAAUAAACUGUAACAUAGAAGAGUCUGUGUGUGAAUUAUACAAAGAAAUUACUAAGCAGCUCUGAUCUCACU